GGUGAGUAAUGUCUGGGAAACUGCCUGAUGGAGGGGGAUAACUACUGGAAACGGUAGCUAAUACCGCAUAAUGUCGCAAGACCAAAGAGGGGACCUUCGGGCCUCUUGCCAUCAGAUGUGCCCAGAUGGGAUUAGCUUGUUGGUGGGGUAACGGCUCACCGAGGCGACGAUCCCUAGCUGGUCUGAGAGGAUGACCAGCCGCACUGGAACUGAGACGCGGUCCAG
rnacentral:rRNA from 1 species